rnacentral:snRNA from 1 species
AUGGCUUCAGGGCCUUGGGCUGAGAUGAAGUGUAACGUCUGUUCUUUUCGGUUUAAUUUCAUAUAGUCCCCUGUCUAAAGACAGUAGAGUAAUUUGAUGAAAUAGGGACUUGCACCAUCCAAUUCCCAGCGUGACCUUGUAUUGCAGAGUGUGCAGGAGUGCUGCACUGUUG